rnacentral:rRNA from 1 species
CCUACGGGAGGCAGCAGUGGGGGAUAUUGGACAAUGGGGGGAACCCUGAUCCAGCGACGCCGCGUGAGUGAAGAAGUAUUUCGGUAUGUAAAGCUCUGUCAGCAGGGAAGAAAGAAAUGACGGUACCGGACCAAGAAGCCCCGGCUAACUCCGGGCCAGCAGCCGCGGUAAUACGUAGGGGGCAAGCGUUAUCCGGAAUUACUGGGUGUAAAGGGAGCGUAGACGGUGACGUAAGUCUGGAGUGAAAGGCCGGGGCCCAACCCCGGGACUGCUCUGGAAACUAUUGAACUUGAGUGCAGGAGAGGUAAGCGGAAUUCCUAGUGUAGCGGUGAAAUGCGUAGAUAUUAGGAGGAACACCAGUGGCGAAGGCGGCUUACUUGACUGUAUCUGACGUUGCGGCUCGACAGCGUGGGGAGCAAACCGGAUUAGAUACCCUAGUAGUC